AAGCUGGGGAGGACAUAUUUCCAGGGAAGGAGGAGGAUGAGCCAAGUGCAGUAGAGAGGUUCUUGUAAAAUAAUAACUGGUGAGACAAUAAGUCUUAGGACAAGACUUAGGGGUCUGCCCCCUAAUCCUACAUGGAAAUCCUAGUGAUGCCUUCCUUGGCAAGAAGGUCCCUGGUAGCCUUGGCAGGGUAGCUUUUGGGAUAUGAUAGGGACAGAGGCCAGAGAUAUGUGGGCAGAAAGUGAAGAAGAACAAGACCUGGGGACUCUUGCUCUUCCAAAGUGGGGCUUUGGUAUAGGCUGAGGAGGUGAUGCCAGGAGAGUGGACCAGGAGACGAGGGCAGCAGGGUCAGGAGAGGAGGGAGGAGAGCCAGCGGAAGGGACAUCUCUUGCUGUAACAGGAGCAGGAGGGGAAUGGAUGUAGAUAACGAUGUUCAGUGGGUUAAGGGGGAUUACCUUUAAUUCUCUCAAUACACAGUGAAGGGCCUGGGUUGAGUAGGGGACUCAGGAGAACAGUGGCGGUUUGGAAGUAUCCCAGGGCAUGGGGCUGCCUAGGGGCUUUAUGGAAGUCAAAGCUUUAGAGGAGUCAGAGAGGGAGGUGCCAGCCACAGCUCUGACCAGAGACUGGGCAUUGCCAGACAGUGAGGAGGAAGGAGAGGUGUUUAUGGAUCAGGGACGGGAGUCCUAGGGAUGAUAAGCCCUGGGCUCCAGCUGGGAACUAUCAGAGUCUGGGGGUGUCAGGCAAGCUCGGAGGACUGAGAGGGAGGCCACCAAGCCCUGUGAGAGAGAAGGUGGAGGUGAGGACUUGAGAACAGUGGAAAGAAGGCAGCCUCUGAGGGCCCCAGGGUGGAGCAGAUCUGAGUGAUGAAAAUCCCCUUGGGACCCUGAGAGUGAGGGGAAGGUCACGGAAGCCGAGAGAUCCAGGAAUGUGAGGUCAGAGGCUGACCUGGUUGUCCACGCGGAUGUUCGAAACUCCCAGGAUGGAGAGAAAAACAGAGCAGGAGGAAUGAGGAAGGUGGGUGCUGACAGCCACAGGAGGACUGAGGCUGCAGGAGGCCGGCGGCA
rnacentral:lncRNA from 10 species